rnacentral:rRNA from 1 species
GACGAACGCUGGCGGCGUGCUUAACACAUGCAAGUCGAACGGAAAGGCCCUGCUUUUGUGGGGUGCUCGAGUGGCGAACGGGUGAGUAACACGUGAGUAACCUGCCCUUGACUUUGGGAUAACUUCAGGAAACUGGGGCUAAUAACGGAUAGGAGCUCCUGCUGGAUGGUGGGGGUUGGAAAGUUUCGGCGGUUGGGGAUGGACUCGCGGCUUAUCAGCUUGUUGGUGGGGUAGUGGCGUACCAAGGCUUUGACGGGUAGCCGGCCUGAGAGGGUGACCGGCCACAUUGGGACUGAGAUACGGCCCAGACUCCUACGGGAGGCAGCAGUGGGGAAUAUUGCACAAUGGGCGGAAGCCUGAUGCAGCAACGCCGCGUGCGGGAUGACGGCCUUCGGGUUGUAAACCGCUUUCGCCUGUGACGAAGCGUGAGUGACGGUAAUGGGUAAAGAAGCACCGGCUAACUACGUG